rnacentral:rRNA from 1 species
GACGAACGCUGGCGGCGUGCUUAACACAUGCAAGUCGAACGGUAAGGCCCUUCGGGGUACACGAGUGGCGAACGGGUGAGUAACACGUGGGUGAUCUGCCCUGCACUUCGGGAUAAGCCUGGGAAACUGGGUCUAAUACCGGAUAGGACCCUGGGAUGCAUGUCCUGGGGUGGAAAGCUUUUGCGGUGUGGGAUGGGCCCGCGGCCUAUCAGCUUGUUGGUGGGGUGAUGGCCUACCAAGGCGACGACGGGUAGCCGGCCUGAGAGGGUGACCGGCCACACUGGGCCUGAGAUACGGCCCAGACUCCUACGGGAGGCAGCAGUGGGGAAUAUUGCACAAUGGGCACAAGCCUGAUGCAGCGACGCCGCGUGAGGGAUGACGGCCUUCGGGUUGUAAACCUCUUUCAGCACCGACGAAGCGCAAGUGACGGUAGGUGCAGAAGAAGGACCGGCCAACUACGUGCCAGCAGCCGCCGUAA